rnacentral:siRNA from 1 species
AUCUCCAGUUUCAUUGUCCACCCU